rnacentral:rRNA from 1 species
CCUACGGGAGGCUGCAGUGGGGAAUAUUGGACAAUGGGGGGAACCCUGAUCCAGCCAUGCCGCGUGUGUGAAGAAGGCCCUCGGGUUGUAAAGCACUUUCAGUGAGGAAGAACGCCUGGUGGUUAAUACCCAUCAGGAAAGACAUCACUCACAGAAGAAGCACCGGCUAACUCCGUGCCAGCAGCCGCGGUAAUACGGAGGGUGCGAGCGUUAAUCGGAAUUACUGGGCGUAAAGCGCGCGUAGGUGGCUUGAUAAGCCGGUUGUGAAAGCCCCGGGCUCAACCUGGGAACGGCAUCCGGAACUGUCAAGCUAGAGUGCAGGCGAGGAAGGUAGAAUUCCCGGUGUAGCGGUGAAAUGCGUAGAGAUCGGGAGGAAUACCAGUGGCGAAGGCGGCCUUCUGGACUGACACUGACACUGAGGUGCGAAAGCGUGGGUAGCAAACAGGAUUAGAUACCCCAGUAGUC